rnacentral:rRNA from 1 species
AUUGAACGCUGGCGGCAGGCCUAACACAUGCAAGUCGAGCGGAUGAAGGGAGCUUGCUCCUGGAUUCAGCGGCGGACGGGUGAGUAAUGCCUAGGAAUCUGCCUGGUAGUGGGGGAUAACGUCCGGAAACGGGCGCUAAUACCGCAUACGUCCUGAGGGAGAAAGUGGGGGAUCUUCGGACCUCACGCUAUCAGAUGAGCCUAGGUCGGAUUAGCUAGUUGGUGGGGUAAAGGCCUACCAAGGCGACGAUCCGUAACUGGUUUGAGAGGAUGAUCAGUCACACUGGAACUGAGACACGGUCCAGACUCCUACGGGAGGCAGCAGUGGGGAAUAUUGGACAAUGGGCGAAAGCCUGAUCCAGCCAUGCCGCGUGUGUGAAGAAGGUCUUCGGAUUGUAAAGCACUUUAAGUUGGGAGGAAGGGCAGUAAGUUAAUACCUUGCUGUUUUGACGUUACCAACAGAAUAAGCACCGGCUAACUUCGU